GUUUAGAAAUGUCCCAUCAGACCUGAAGCCUGUGGGUCCAGAAGACACAUUUGAUCGGAUCCAACCUUUGGAAGAUCUGCUUGGAAAUUUCCCACUUCAUGUCCUGAGUCCAGGAACCCAGCAGUGGAAUUUUGUAGUGAAAGCAGAGUAUGCUCGGCUUAACCACACGCUCACCCUAGUGACCAGAGAACGUGAUUUGGCCGUGAAGGAGAAAAACGAGCUCCAAGCCAAGCUGGAGAACCUAGAACAGGUCCUAAAGGUAGGACGGGCUUCCCCUUCUGCUUUCCUUAGGGUCAGCGCGAGGAAGGAGGGACUGUGGGAUUCCAAAUCAGGAAGUGGUUGAAACUCCUUUUGAG
rnacentral:lncRNA from 1 species